rnacentral:rRNA from 1 species
UACGUAGGGUGCGAGCGUUAAUCGGAAUUACUGGGCGUAAAGCGUGCGCAGGCGGUUUGUUAAGACAGAUGUGAAAUCCCCGGGCUUAACCUGGGAACUGCAUUUGUGACUGGCAAGCUAGAGUAUGGCAGAGGGGGGGUAGAAUUCCACGUGUAGCAGUGAAAUGCGUAGAGAUGUGGAGGAAUACCGAUGGCGAAGGCAGCCCCCCUGGGCCAAUACUGACGCUCAUGCACGAAA